rnacentral:rRNA from 1 species
AGGUUAAGCUGGGGACUCUAAAGGAACUGCCUACGCAAGUAGUGAGGAAGGCGGGGAUGACGUCAAAUCAGCACGGCCCUUACGUCCAGGGCUACACACGUGCUACAAUGGCCGAUACAGAGGGCAGCUACCUGGUGACAGGAUGCAAAUCUCCAAAGUCGGUCUCAGUUCGGAUCGGAGUCUGCAACCCGACUCCGUGAAGUUGGAUUCGCUAGUAAUCGCGCAUCAGCCAUGGCGCGGUGAAUACGUUCCCGGGCCUU